GCCGGGUGUGGUGACGCACACCUGUAAUCCCAGAGGCUCAGGAGGCUGAGACAGGAGGAUGGAGAGUUCAAAGCCAGGUUCAGCAACAUCAAGGCACUAAGCAACUCAGUGAGACCCUGUCUCUA
rnacentral:sRNA from 1 species